CUCACCCAGGCAUCUUGCUGAAAUGCAGAUUCUGACUAAGUAAACUCAACACGGUGACAGAGAUCCUGCAUUUCUAACAAGCUCCCAAGUGAUGCUGA
rfam:Pongo abelii chromosome 8.